UCCUUCUGACACCGCUGAAUGUAACGAUGAUUCUAACCGCCACCACGCCGUUAGAUCCAAGGUUCGUUUUCUCUGUAGUCUCUAUCUCCUUCUCUCUCUCUCUCUCUUUGUUGAUCUGUUUUCUUUGCGUGUCACACUCGUGUUGUUUUACCUUUAUACCCUUCUCUCUUUUUUAGUGCACUCGCCUCCGCCAUUGGCUUCAAACGGUGGCGAUGUCUCCGUGAGGUUCGAGACAUUCUUGUCUUCCAAAUAACUUUUCCUUUCACUUUUACCGUUUUGACCUUCUUCUCUUUCCUCGAAUGCGUUGAGGCAAACGGUUUUCGUUUUCGAUUUUCCGCUGACGUCAGCAAAUGCCUCCACGUCUUUUUUAAUUCCAUUUUUUUUGUAAAAUUAUAUUCCGCACACCGAUCCGAUAAAUGGUGGCAGUUUCCGUUCCGUUUGGCGAGUUUCUUUUUAUUUUGUGGAUUUAUUCUGACGGAAAUACCCCUGUACGUUCGUGACACGCGUGAAGUAAGUAGUACUAGAAGUAAGGAAGAGAGGUUGACGUUUUGUUCUAGGGUAACUCGUCUGUCAUUCUAUAUUCUCCGAUCUAUUUACAAAAACACCCUUCCUUUGGGAUAGAAAGUUUGGGGUGUUUUGGUCAAUUAAAAUAAUAGAAUGGGUGGGGCCCUAUUAUUUCUCUCAUCUCUCUGCGAUUCUAAUUUAAAUCUUAUGAGACGUGAAAGUUGAAACACAUAGCGUUAUUAAUAACACAGCAAUGGCACUUUUAUGAUGUGGAAGGGGUUAUAAACCAGUGUCACGGGUACGACGGUGAAGGGUAGUUGUAGUUGGUUGGUGCCUUCAACACCACGCAGUAUUUGUGGGCCCAUGGGCCCACUUCACCUCACCUCACUGGAGGCGUGCUUUCCUUAUUGCUUAAUGCCUUAUUUUCUACAUUUUUGUUUACAGAAAAUAUGAAUUUAAAUUGAAUGAUGAAAUAGGUGGUGGUUAAUAAUAAAGUCACGUGAGCAUUCUAUGACGUGGCUUAAAAUGUGAGUCACGGAAGAAUAAUCAAUGGGCUAUACUACAUGAGAGUGUAUAGCCACGUCGUUGUCACUUUUCAUUGACCUGCCACGUGUAUAAUAUUGGUGAAUAAUGUAUUUUUGUAUUUAAGUUUAUUCUAGAUCAUUGUAGUUACAUUACCUUAUUUUAUGGGAAAUGUUAUCAUUCUUGAGUUCACAUCUAAUAAUGUAAAUGGAAACAAUUUUUCAGGCUACUGCUACAAGUGGAUAUACGGGCAAUUCUGCUUCUACUAAAAAGUGCAGAAGAAAAAAGACUUUUGCAGAACUAAAGGAAGAGGAAAGCACUCUUCUAAAGGAAAGGGUAUAUUUAGAAAAGGUAUCUCUCCCCUCUUUAAUAUUUUCUUCACUCAUUUUCAGAUGGGCAUGCAUGAUUACUAAUGUUACUCUUAUUUUGCAGGAGAUAGCAAAUAAAAAUGCAAACUUUGAGGCAGAAAGAGCUUUAAACGAGAGAAUGAAGAGGAUAAAGCUUGAUUUCGGUACAAAAUGGCAUAGCUAUCCUAGUAGUUCAACAUCUGUUGAAAAACUGCAGUGUACUACUCUUGCUGGUCAACCCCACCAGAGAAUAAUAGUACCUUUCGCCCCUAUCGAAGUCACAAAUGCAACUCAAGAUGAUUCUCAUUCACAAUCUUCACAAUCUAGGGAAGGCUUUUCCUUGAUACCAGAUCUAAACAUAAUGCCACCUGAUGAUGCUGGUUCUUACACAGAGGAUCUAUGUGGAAUGAGUUGAAUCCUACUUGGUUUCAUCCAACACUUGUGGUUGGAACUAGAACAAGUAUGGAACAAACAAUGUACAGAAUCCACGAGUACAUUUUGAAGGCUCUAUCUUUGCCUCAUACCCAAUGGAAAACACUGAACAAAGUCGUUCAUGAGAGACGUUUCUUGAUGCAACCUAACAACCAAUUCCUUUGAAAGGAAAAGAAGGUGCUAGUCAUAAAAAGUUUUAUUGUUUAGUUCUAGCCAUUAGGCUGUAGAGUAGAGAUGCUACUGUCACAUGUUCAUCAGUUUCUGAACCAUUCUUUGUAGGUUAAAAGCUUUGUUAGAUCUGGAUUCCUUCACAAGUUAUUUUAAUUCAUCAACAGUUUUAUGAAUCCAUUUUAUCAAUCUAUAUACAAGUUUAUCUCUUUGAAAAUGUUCUUAUAUGAAAUUCAUUCCUCUCCUAGAAGCUGAAGGGGCUACAUGGGCUGAAAGGAGUAGAACACAACCAACAAAAAAAUAUAAAUAUAUUUUCAUUUGUUGUUAGCUAAAGGCUAAUUUUCUUUUGUUCUCUAAUGGGCUCUCUACAAACUCACAAAGCCUGCA
rnacentral:lncRNA from 1 species